CCACCCCUCUAGAGGUGAAAGAGAAGAUCCACCUGCUCCUCCAGAAAUCAGAGUUUGUGGAGAAGAGCAUGAAGCAUUUCUCAGGAACCCUACGUUCAGAAAUGGAAACCUUCAAUGUUCCAGAACUGAUUGAUGCUCAGACACAUGCCGGUA